GACGAACGCUGGCGGCGUGCUUAACACAUGCAAGUCGAACGAGUGGCGAACGGGUGAGUAAUACGUGAGUAACCUGCCCUCUUUUUGGGAUAAGCCUUGGAAACGGGGUCUAAUACCGGUAAAAGGGGGAUGGGCUCGCGGCCUAUCAGCGUGUUGGUGGGGUGCUGGCCUACCAAGGCGGUGACGGGUAGCCGGCCUGUGAGGGUGACCGGCCACAUGGGGACGGAGAUACGGCCGAGACUAGUACGCGAUGCGGCAUUUGGCGCUAUUGCACAAUGGGGGAUGGCGUGAUGCAGCGACGAUGCGGGGGGGAUGAGGGUUGUCGGGUUGUAAACCUCUUGAGCUAUCGAAUGGGUAGGUGGAGAAGAAGCGCCGGCUAACUACGUGCCAGCAGCCGCGGUAAUAC
rnacentral:rRNA from 1 species